CCUACGGGAGGCAGCAGUGGGGAAUAUUGGGCAAUGGAGGAAACUCUGAUGCAGCCAUGCCGCGUGCAGGAAGACGGCCCUAUGGGUUGUAAACUGCUUUUAUAUGGGAGCAAUAAGGUCUACGCGUAGACCGAUGAGAGUACCAUAUGAAUAAGCAUCGGCUAACUCCGUGCCAGCAGCCGCGGUAAU
rnacentral:rRNA from 1 species